ensembl:lncRNA
GGACUGGCUCUGAGUGCAGGGGGAGGGAUCAAAUGACAGACUGGAAUGGGAUUAGAUCGGAGGCUUUGGGAAAGGGUAUAGUUCCAGAGGCAUUCCGGGUGAUUGUGAGUGAUCGUGGUCCCGAAUGGGUGCCGCCUGACCCCGGGGGUGUUACGCGCCUGGUGGAAUUUAUGGAUAAAAGAGGCCUGAAAUCGCCUCUGACAUUAAAUGCACUACAAACUUUGGCUGCACUGGGGCCUCUCUUCCCCCGUGACAUCACAAACUUAAUGCGUAUGGUGCUCAGGCUGGUUCAAUAUACGUUAUGGGAGACGGACUGGGUGGCCGAACCACCUACUCCGUGCACAGAUAUUACCCAGGGCCCGAAUGAAUCCUUUCAAAGCUUUACAGACAGGCUUUUAGCUGCUGCAGAGGGGUCUGAUCUCCUGGUACCGGCCCAAGGGCCAGUGAUCAUUGACUGCUUGCAGCAGAAAUCGCAUGACAAUGUUAAGGCAUUGCUGCGAGCCGGCCGAAGUACGCUUAAUACCUCGGGAGCCGGCCGAAGUACGCUUAAUACCUCGGGAGAAGUUAUUCAGUAUGUCUUAGAUAAGCUCAAGGUGGCUCAUUUAACUAAUGAAAGGCUAGUCACAGCUAUUGUCGUAGCUGUUGGCCUGCGACAGCAAAGAUCGCUGCAGCAGCAAGGGCUGUGUUUCCAUACGGCCAGUAUGGCCAUGUUAGAGCACAAUGCCCCUGUGGGGGAGGCCAGUCAGGGCCUCCUGAUCACAGGAAGGGCUUGCUAAAGGGUAUCCGUGGUCGGGUAUGCAGCAGUUAAAUAUCAUGAAUCUGGGAAAUUCUGUGGGUACCAUCGUGAAAAGUAAUACCAGAUAUAAGUAGCAUAUCUGCAAAAACUGAGUCUAGGUGCGAGUUUUCUACAGAAAUUCUUCGUUGGCAGACCGAAGCCAACUCCAGAACAACUGAGGGACAGACGAUGGGAUCAAGAACCACUCGUCAAGAGGAGCACUACACCUGCAACGCUGACACUUCCGAUGUUGCUGAUAUUUAUGGUGUCCAUGGCGAUUACAGAGUGUCACAAACAACUACAAUGGACGCAAGAACAUCUGCAGAAAAUUAAAGAAGAGCGUGAUCCCUUUGGAAGCUGGCUGGACGGACUGUUUGGGGGAACGGGUUCAUGGUUAAAGCAAUUGCUUAAAGCUCUCGCAGUAGGAUUUGCAAUCUUUGUGUGUAUUCUAAUCUGUCUUCCAUGCUUUGUAGGAUGCUUGCAGAACUGCCUUCAACGAAUGAUGGACAAGACUUUUGACUAUCACAUUGAGUAUCAUAGAUUGCGUGAAAAAUUAUAGAGGGGUUUAGGUUGUUGCGUUCGUGCUGUAACGGGGCAAGGCUUGGCCGAGCACGGAAAAGAAUUCCCUGUUGCUCUGAUGAUUGCUUAAGAACUGUAGUAGAAAAUAGUAGGAAUAGUGUGCUGAAAUAUAUUUAGGAUUAGGCGUUUUGCGCUGCUUCGCGAUGUACGGGUUAGGUGUGUGUGUAAGUAGUGUUUAGCUUAGGGAGGGGGAGAUGUUGUAGUAGGCGUCUUGCGGGGGCACGGGAUGUACGGGACAGGCCUCUCCCUAAACAUAGAGAGAUAGUGCUAUCGUGCUGACCUUGUUGCAGAGAAAACAGGAGAAGAAGAAGGAUGAUAAAAGAAUGUGGAAAUGGCCAAAUAAGGCACAAUGUUAUCUGGUGUGAACUAAUCAGAGUGGGACAUGACAGCACGGUUAUCUAGGUAAAAAUGUAUAUAAGCU